ensembl:misc_RNA 7SK 7SK RNA
GGAGGUAAGGGCGAUCUGGCUGCGACAUCUGUCACCCAUUGAUCGCCAGGGUUGAUGCAACUGAUCUGACUGGUUAGGUGGUUGUUCCCUUCCUCCCUCACCACUCCAUGUGCCUUCUUCCUGAAGCUGCCCACUUAGUCAAAGAGGAGGACCUUCCCUGAAUAGAGGAGGACCGGUGUUUGGUCAAGGGUAUACGAGUAGCUGUGCUCCCCUGCUAGAACCUCCAAACAAGCUCUCAUGAAUUGUACUCUAAUUGUACAGUGAUAUUGCUAUAUUUAAGACAAAACAAGGUUAGCUCAAUGGUUGACCUACAAAAAUAUAGUUACCAUCUAU